GCUGAAACUUCAAUUUCCUAAAAAUCACUACUACAUUAAACAGUUUUUGCGACAAACAAAAGUUUGUCGUGUAAAGACAAUUUCCAUCUCUUAAAUAUUGGCACGACGAAUUCUUCGUCGCAAAGACGUUGUCGCGCAAACGCCAGAAAGACGCAUCACGCAAAGCUCAUGAAGAAUACGUUUGCGCGACAAAGACAAAUAUUUUCAUCGCGCAAGGACGAAUAGAUUCGUCCUAAAACAUAGUGGAACGAAGAGUAUCGUCGUCCAUAACUAGAGGGUACAAUAGCUUGUCGUCAGAGUUAAGUUUAUAGGGAUGACAAGAAGUCGUUAGGUAAGUCUAUGCGUGAUGAAUAUUUUCGUCAAUUAAACAAGGAUGUAACAAAAUUUGUCUCGUAAUAUUUGUUAUCGAGUAAUUUCAAUAUUAUUUAGUUAGACCCUUAUUUAAUUAUGAAAUUUUCGUCGUAUAUGAUUUUGCAUGACGAACGACUUCCUUACUUUAAUCUUAUGCGAUGAAGGUAAUACGUGUUGCAAAGUUUUUUUAAAAAUUUUUUCCCUUUAUUUAUCAUUUUUUAUUAAAUUACAAAUUUUAAUUAAGUUUUUGUAAUUAUUUUAAUUAAAUUAUAA
rnacentral:lncRNA from 1 species